CAGAAAGAGCUUCAGUCCACCUACUGGCAAGCAGUACAUUGACCCCAAGCGGCAUUCAGCUGUGGGCAGCAGAAUCCCCUCCACAACACCGAAACUGAGAGACAAGACUCCGAGGGCUCUGUGUCUCCAAGUACAUCAGCUGAAUCUGCUGUCCUAUAAAGCCUGCUGCCCACAGUUAC